rnacentral:piRNA from 1 species
UAGUGUUUUAUUUCAACCCCAUGGUUCC